rnacentral:rRNA from 1 species
GACGGAGGGUGCUAGCGUUGUUCGGAAUCACUGGGCGUAAAGGGCGCGUAGGCGGCCUUGCAAGUCGGUUGGUGAAAGCCCGGGGCUCAACCCCCGGAGGUGCGGCCGAGACUGCAGGGCUGGAGGCCGGAAGAGGAGGGUGGAAUACCCAGUGUAGAGGUGAAAUUCGUAGAUAUUGGGUGGAACACCGGUGGCGAAAGCGGCUCUCUGGUCCGGACCUGACGCUGAGGCGCGAAAGCGUGGGGAGCAAACAGG